rnacentral:misc_RNA from 1 species
GAAGAAAUGGGUUCAUGUGUUUCAGUGCACAAAGACCCUCAAUUUCGUCUUGUUUUUGGGUCCAAAACUGCUCAUCAUACUCCAUCACCUCUACAACAAAAACCAACUCAUCGAUCUUCAACGCCCUUUCCUGAUUUCGGUAGUAAGGAGGAGACCUUCUUUGAUUCCCAGGCUUGGUUAGAUUCUGAUUGUGAUGAUGACUUCCUUAGUGUAAAUGGAGAUUUUACCCCUUCUCGUGGUAGUACUCCUGUCCAUCCCAGCUUGGCUGGAAAUUUAAAAGGUAACAGAGAUUCCCCUGCUUCUUUUCGGCAAUCACCGCCACAGGAAAAAAAGAAGAGAUUGUCUGAACUUUUCAGUGAAAGCUUGAGAAGUGAGCUCAAUGAGCAAAACGUCACAAGUACAAAAAAGGAAACUGCAGUUACUGAUGAUCGAGUUCCACCAAGAUCUACACCUGGGACACCUUAUGCGUCUGUGUGUAACAGCGAAAGAACUCCCAAUGGAGAGCUAAAAUGUGAUGUCAAAUCAUCGAAGCCAGCACAAUGUUGUCUUCCAAGGUUACUCUCAAGUCGUAGCUUUAGUGAGAGGAGGAAAAGAAUGAGCCCAGCACGUACUGUUGGCUGACAACCCGACCAAUAAGUUGUCUCUCUUAAGGUAUAUAUAUAUAUGUGUGUGUUUUAUGUGCAUGUUUAAGGUAUACAAUAUGAACUUUGAUGGUCAAUAAAACUUAAUGGCCAUGAGAUUUCGGGGCAAAUACACAGUUGUGUAGAGUUCUGG